UUUCACUUUUGUCUUCUUGAUAUAUGGAGAGCCACAGACCUAAAACCCAGUGUCCUGAUUAUGCCUCUGCCUGAUUCCAUCUGCUCUUGCCAGAUGGAGUGUUCUUAAUCCACAUAUAAUUUUAGAGACAGGAGAGGCUGCCACAGGGACCGGGCACCCCUCACCAGCGGACAGGGAGCCUGCCCUUCCUUCCUCCCAGCUAUGGCCAGAGCUGGCCUGCCGGAGGAGACAUGCCAAGGAGAGUACAGAGCACAGCCUUUCCAGGAUUCUCAGCCUCAGUGCUGACCUUGGAGGUGGUUCAAAUGGGUAGCCGCUGACCGGGAAGAAGUUCAGGGCUGGCAGUCCACUGAGACGGGCCCUGACAGGGACUACGGCUGAAGAGGAACCCAGCCCAGGUGCUCCCUCAGGGAAGUGCUCCCCGCCUCCAGCCUCAGGCCUUGUUCUUGAUCCUCUUGACAGGCAGAGCUGAGGAAGUCUGUGAGUCCAGGAGGCUUCCGGAAGGCUGCUCAGCACCUGUUCAACAAAGGCGCCAGCCCCCAGGAGCAGAGGGAAAUGGGCAAGUGCCCGGGGCUCUCGACCGGGCGGGAUCAGUCAAGCAUGGCAUCGAUAGUGGAACAAAGGUACAAACCAGAUUUAUGUGUUUUAAACAGGGAGGACUCUCAAAAUGUGCUGUGGAGUAAAAAAGUGCAAGUUGCCAAACCACGUGUGGUGCAGGAUGCCAACUAUGUGAAAACAUUUCCACAGAAACAAUACAAUCCGUUUUGUGUAGGUGUACAUAUAAAUAAAGGAAUGGAAAUGUCUACAUUCUUAAAAGUUCUGGAGCAUAUGUAUCAAACCCUAAAGAGUAGUUACCCCUGGGGAGUGGAGAGGGAGACAGGGAGUGAAGGUGACAGGGAAAGAAACUUGAGAUUUAUCAGUAAUAUUUUAAUUUUUUAAAGAAAGUUCACUUAUGUAUGUAAUUAAACUUAUUUUUAAAACUCUAACCGUUGGUGUAAAGGCAAAGCAUAGGGUUAGAGUUUGAGGAGAACGAAGCCCUGCUCCAGUCCUCGAUACUCCAUGCCCGUAGGGCCGUUCUUUAACUGCCUGCCUUUGGUUAUUGCCUGGGUGAAAUGGGCAUAAAAACAUAGUGACUCCAGAGGGCUUCCCAAAGAACUAAGUGGCCUGGUCGACGGAGAUAUACAUAUGCUAGUUAUAAGUAGCAUUUUGUGUUUAAAAACAAUUUAGAGUCUCUAUAAAGACAGACUCAAAAUAAAAUCCAAUGUCUCUCCCCAAGGACAGAAAAAAGAGAGUGGCCACGAAGGAGCCGCCUUGAGUCUACUGAGAGCAGGUCAUGUCAGACUAACGUUACUUCCUCUGUUCACAGGAGGAGGGAAGGGCAAGAAGCAAACACUUAUGAUGGCUUUCCAGUGACUCCAGCUCUGUGCUGGGUGUCCUCAGAGUUCCCACCACCCCGAGAGGUUUCUCGGGGCAACCUGAACCAGGUUUGGUGAGGUUAGGAAACUCGCCUCCGGGGGACGCUGGGGAUCUGGGUUCAGAUCUAGAUUCAAAUGAUCCCAGGCAGCUAAGGGCCGGAGCAGCAGCAGCAGCAAGGACAACAGCUGCUGCCACCCUGGGCUGUCAUUUGAUCCUCACAAGGAUGGUAAAUUUUUUUACUCACAUUUUACAAGUGAAGAAAAUGAGACAGCAAGAAAGGUUAAGUAGGCCAGCCCAAAGUCACAGGUCUGUCUUGUCCCCAAAUCCGAGGUCUUAACCAUGCCACCCUAUGCCUCUCUCUUCCACCUACACCCGCCCCACACCAGGGAGGCUCUGGCCUCCUCCUCACGGGGAGAUUCUGUCAGAAGCUCUGAAAAGUGGCAACCACCUCUCUAGACUGGGUUAGUGGAUCAGGUUGACUGACGCUGGGGGCAGGGCAUGCGGAAUCCUGUGGGCACCUGGAUUGCAGCCAGGUUUCUGAGCGAGAUGCUCUUCAGGGCCAGGAGGUCAGGAAGGAGACAUGGGAGAUGAAAACUGAUACUGCUUGUUUAGUGGGUUGAAUUGUGUCCGCCAAAAAGAUGUGUUCAAGUCCUCACCCCGGUACCUACGAAUGUGACCUUAUUUGGAAAUGGGGUCUUUGCAGGUGUAAUCUAGUUACGGCGAACUCCUACUGGAUCAAGGUGAGCCCUAAAUCCAGUGACUGGCGUCCUUAUAAGAAGAGGGAAAUUUGGGCACAGAGACUCAAUGAAGACACACACACACAGAGAAGAAGGCCAUGAGAAGAUGGAGGCAGACGUGGAGUGAUGCAGCUACAAGCCAAGGAUGCCAAGGAUUGCCGGCCACCAACAACAGUUAGGGAGACGCCAGGAAGGAUUCUUCCCUAGAGUCUUUGGAGGGAGCGUGGCCCAGCCGAUACCUUGACUUAGGACUUCUGGCCUCCAGAACUGGGAGAGAAUGAAUUUUUGUUGUUUCAAGCCACCCAUGUGUGGCAACAUGUUCUGGCGGCCCUAGGAAACUAACACAGCCCGGUUGCUCCACGGCUGAUUGGGCAAUCCCGGCAUGACCUGUGGGCUUGCGCAGUGGGACAGAGGGCUUCGUCCUUGACCCUAAUUUAUUUUAUUAUCCUCUUGGAUAAAAAUAAAGAGAGUGUCUGCCAAUCAAAUACGUGGAUUAUUCAAAACCUGGAGAGAUGGUGAGUACUGAAGACAGGCUCUAUAUUCAAAAACAUCUCAAUGAACUGCAAUAAUGGGUCACAUUUUAUAAACUGAAACUUAACUAGGACAAAGUUUUUAAUUUAGGUUCAAAGAACUAACUGCAUGAAUGUGGAAUGGGGAACCUCUGGCUUAAUGACAGCUCAUAUAAUAAAAGGUGUUGGCCACAGCUGAGUACGAGCCAACAAUGCAUUGCAGUCAUUAAAAAAAGCUAGUGCACAUUUAAGGUGCUCCACUGACAAGGAGAAAUGAGACCAGCACCCCGUAGGUCGCUGAGCUGGUCAGGCCACAUCUGGAGCUUCAAUCAGCUCUGAGUACCUCAUUUUAGAGUUUUGACACUACUCAGCAUCCAGGGAAAGAGAGCCAGGAAAGUGAGGGGUCCAGAAACUGUCAUGCAAAGAAAAUCGGGGUGGGUCGGGGGCGGCCCUGAGGAGUAGUGGUUAAGUUUGCACACUCUGCUUCAGCAGCCCAGGGUUCACAGGUUCAGAUCCCAGGCAUGGACCUACACAUCACUCAUCAAGCUAUGUUGUGGCAGUGUCCCACAUAAAAAAUCGAGGAAGAUUGGCACAGAUGUUAGCUCAGGGCCAAUCUUUCUCACAAAAAAGAAAGAAAGAAAAUCAGGGGAUCUAGGCUUAUUUCCCCUGGAGAUGAGAAGACAUGGGAACCUGGGACAUGUCUUUAAAUGCUGAAUGGCUCUCAUGAAGGAGAGGAAAUAGGCCAAUUGUAUAGUGUUCCAGAAGAUUCCUAACCAGUGGCUCCUGCACUGAUGAUGGCAAGCAGCAGUCUCAUUCUUCAGCAGAGGGGACACUGUUGAUUUUGCAGCAUUAAUUCUCUCUUUUUCUGAUAACAGCACCCAGAUUUCCUUUGUGAGACCACUCCACCCCCACUUUGUCCAUGGUUCCAGGGGUGGGCAAAUGACUCAGACUUAGCCCCUCAGAGAGCUCUAUCCCUUUGCCCACACCAACCUGUUCAGGGAUGGGCACACGGCCCAAGCCAGAUCAAUGAGUGACUAUCCCGGGCAUUUUGUCAUAAUUACCAGGCAGAGACUGUCUCCUUUCAUUAGGAUCACAAAGCUGGUAGGAUAGAAACCUGGAGGUGCUGGAGGCCAGCUUGCCAACAAGUGAGAUGAACCUGCUUGAGAAUGAAGUCAACACAGGAAAUAGAGCCAAGAAAUGGAGGCAGAAAGAUCUCUACUGGCACCUUGUGAACACCUGGAUCCAGCCAUGACUGAAGCUUGUUUGUGACAUGACACAGUACAAUCUCCUUUUAUGCUUUUACUAGUUUGAGGUGAGGCUUUGUCAUUUGCAAUCAACUGUCCUAAGACAUCACACCCACCUGUAAGGAUAGCAAGCUGUCUGAUAAUGUCAUCCAGAAGGAUCUGUAAUAGUUAACAUUUACUGAGAAACUUCCUUUUUCAUAUUUGAGGAAGAUUGGCCCUGAGCUAACAUCUGUUGCCAAUCUUCAUCUUUUUUUUCUCCCCAAAGCCCCAGUACAUAGUUGUAUAUCCUAGUUGCAAGUCCUUCUAGUUCUUCUUCUAUUUGGGAUGCUGCCAUAGCAUGGUCUGAUGAGCGGUGUGUAGGGCUACGCCCAGGAUGCGAACUGGUGGACCCCCGCGCUGCCCAAGCAGAACACGCAAACUUAACCAUUACACCACCGGGCCAGCCCCACUGGGCACCUUCUAUAUGUAGAAAUCGUGGUAGAUUUUUAAGUUUAAUUUUUAAUAAAGUUAUACUUGCACAUCGUUUAAUGAGUUGCAUAGUUCUGUAAGACUUGUUAUGUAGAACAACUGUCUUUUGCAACUCAGACCCCAUUUCCCACUCCUGAGGCAAUUACUUACAACAUUUUCAGCUUGUUCUUUACCUAUUGACUUCUCACUGUGAAAGAUUAGGAUUUAGCUCAUUUUCACUCUCUGUGUCCCCACCACACAGCACACUUCCCAACCUCCUUCCUCCUCAUUUAAUUAUGUUGUAACUUUGUUUGGAUCAAUAUUCACUAUUUAUAUUUUCGACUUUGUAAACUCUAUUCACAGCUCGUGCAGGAUACUACAACUACUCUUCCUGCACAACACUUUGUUUUUGCUAGAGUUAAUAAUUGUCCUACUUUUUUCAUUUGCUAAGUAUUCUAUGUAUUUGCUACUAAUUCAACCCCAAAAUCUCCCUCGUGUGUGUAAAUCUCCAGUCAAUAUGUUCAAAACCUUAGGUGGCUUGUCAGUUGCAUCUUCCUGAACAGCCUGUCCCAGAGCCUCGCGUCUGCUCCAGCCUGGACAGAGCCCCCUCCAGGCCUUGGCCCCAGCUGUUAUCCUGGGGUCUCCCCUCACCAUCAACUAGACAGUCCCUUUGCUCCUUCUUUUAUUGGCUCUUGGUUUCUGGAUCCUGUUCCUUCUUCUUUCUUGGUUUACUCUCUUGUUUUGACAGUGCACAUCCUCAAGCAGCUUCCUGAGAAAGUGGUUCAUGGGAGGUAAAUUUUUGAGAUCCUCUCAAAAAUGUUUCGCUCUCACUCGUAAUUGCUGGAGGCUGGAUAUCAUUUUCCCUCAGUAUUUUGAAGAUCUUGUGCCAUUGUGUUCUCGCUUCCAGGGCAGCUGUUGAGAAGCCUGGUGUCAUUCUGAUUCUGGAUCCGUUGUAUGAAACCUGUCAUUCUGCUUUUGUUUGGUUUUGCUUCCUCAAAACUUAUAGGAUCUUCUCCUUGUCCCCAGAGAGCUGCUCCAGCAGAUCUAAAGAUGACCGAGUCAGUCCCCAAGGAGCUCCAAGGCCAAUGGAGAAGAGGUGGACUGGUUAUCUGUUGCCAUGUAACAAAUUACCCCAAAAGUUAGAGGCUGAAAACAACAAACAUUUGUUAUCUCACGGCUUCUACAGGUCAGGAAUCUGGGUGCAUUUAUCCAGGGGCCUCUAACUCAGAGUGUCCCAUGACAAAACCAACCAAGUGGUGACUGGGCCGGCAGUCACCUCAGAGGCUUGACUGGGGAGCAUUUGCUUGCCAGUCACUCAUGUGGCAGCUGACUUAUCUCAAGUCCUUGCUGACUGUUGGCUAGAGACAUCUGGUCCCUGCCACAUGAGCCCCUCCAAAGAACUACUCCAAAAUGGUGGUUUGCUUCCUUCAGAGUGAGGGGGAGAGAGAGGGAGGAACUGAAUCAGAAGCCACAGUCUUUUUGUAACCAAUCUUAGAAGUGACAUCCCUUAACUUCUACCAUAUUCUUGUCAUUAGAAGGGAGUCAAUGAGCCCAACUCACCCUCAAGGGGAGGGCAUUAGGCAGGAGAAAUACCAAGAGAUAGGGAUCAUUGAGAACCAUCCUAUUAGAGGUUGCCUAGCCCAACAGGCGAAUGGGAUUAGCAAAUGGAGAGCGCCAAGAGAGGAAAGUGCCGGCUGUUGCAGGAGCUCAGGAAAAGAAAUGCCAGCCUCUGCCUGAGGAGAUCAGAGAGGGCUUCCCAGAAGCAGCAGCUUCUGGUUGAGACUUGACUGAGUAGGAGAUAUCCCACGUGGACCUGGGGGUAGAAGAGCAUCCCAGGCAAAGAAAAAGUAUGUGCAAAAGCCAGAGGCAGACAAGGCUUGGUGGGCUCUGGAGCAGCACAGCAAAGCACGGAGUGGGGGGGUGAGAUGUGACGCUGGAGUGGGCAAGGCCAGCUCCUGAGGGACUCGCUUGCUCUCCACAGAAGUUGGUGCUUUAUCUUGGAGGCUCUGGGGAGCCAUGACUAGCUUUCAGGGGAGUGAGAUGGCCAGGUUUGUGGUUUAGUACACUCCGUAGUUGCCAGCUAAGUGGAGGAGAACUGGAGGAGCAGAGGUGGGAGGCAGGGGACCAGGGAGGAGGCUGUGGCAGGUGUCCAAGUGAAUGUGGGGGGCUGAUCUACGGCAAGGUAAAGGUGACCAAUGGGACUUUUACACUGUCACUGAAAAGGCAUCCAGCCUGUCUGGGAGCCAGGUGAAUGGAAAGAAGGGAGGGAGGGAGGAAGAAACAGGUAUGAAUGGAAGGAGGUCCGGUGCAGCCCAGAGCGGCCUCCAGGGUUGCCUGUUGACUGGUGAGGCAAAUGGCGAGCAGGCGGGGUCUUGCUCCUGCAUUAUGGAAAAGUUGGCAGGGUUGGGUGGUAACCUUGGGAGACUGGGAAGAAAGGUCGAGGUGGAGAUCUCAGCCGCCAUUUUGGGUCCCUGGUUUGGCCCCAGGAGGUCCAUCUCUAAGUCUCGUUGAUUACUCUUCCUCCACACCUCUUAGAGGCCCUCCCAUCUGUGGCGUGCAGCCAAGGCUUAGCUUCAGACCCGGGGCUUAGAACUCUGCAGGCACUUCUCGAACCCUCCCUCAAACCCAUCCUAGCAGCCUUCAGAGCUAGGCCCACCUUCGCCAUUCUGAAGCUCAUGGAAGACCUUAAGAACUUGAACUAACUUCCUGUCGCUAAUCUACCAGCCUCAUCACCCCACCCCUUCUCUACGUGACUGUGAGCAGGUGAGUCACUUCUCAGCUUCCGUCUAUAAAAUGAGAGAGUGGGACCAGCUGCUCCCCGCUGUCCCUGCCCACGCUGGCUUGCUGGGAUUCCAUCUCCCACCCACCGCUCUGGGUUGUGUGGGCUCUGGGCUGUUUCUGUAACAUGCAUUCCAGCCACCCUGAUGGCUGUCUGCAUUCCCUCCUUCUGUCUGCUCAGGCCUGCCCGGAGGAGCCAUAGAGACUGCAAUGAGCUCAGCUCCUCAUCUUAACUCUGCAAAACUUUUUUGAGGUUUGGUCUUGUUCGCAGCAGAGCACAGUACUAGGACCAGGCUGUCCUGGCCUGGCACCUGCCCAGCACGCCAGGAACCAGACAGAGCCUUCCAGAAGUCAUAUAGUCCAUCCGCCUGCCCUGGGCAGGACUACGUUAUUCAUCAGAGAUAAUCUUUAAAUAAAUAGGGAAGAAAACUUUACACCUUCGUGGUAAUGUGUUGAUAUUUUGCAGACCCUCAAUGUGAGUUCUUUCUUCCUUCUAGCCUAAAUCCUUCAGGAAUCCUUAAAACAGAACAAAGCUACAUUCUAAGGGCUCCUGGAUAGAAGACCCAGGGUGGGUCCUGCCCUACUCAGCUUCAGCUUUCCCCCUCCUGAAGUGGGGGCUCAGGCCUCCAGAUAGGAAGGGGACCCCAUCUUUUUAUCUCCUGCCCUCUCUGGCUAGGCUUAAUCCACACCUGCCUGGGGACAGAGUUCCAGUUGCCCUUGGCACGCAGAAGGUGGAGGAUGUUAUGUAACUGGUCUUGACCAGACAUUCUGGUUCUGCAGGUAGAGUGUGCAAGUUAAAAAUUGUUUUAAAAAUGCAGUGCUGCUGCCCAAACACACAGUCCUAGGGCAGGAGGCCAGGGGCCGAGGCCACGCGCAGCAGACAGAUGUGUUUUCUGCAGGGACUUUGGGCCCAGCGCUGUGACACCAAGGGAACAUCAAACUCAGGGACCAGUGGCACAAGCCUGCUCCCCAGAAACAGGUUUUGUGCCUAACACCCUCUGAACUGUUUUCUCUAGAACCUGUGCUGCUCCCCCUGCCUCCCCCUCUGGCUCUGCCUCCUCCAUAAUCACGUCUAGUCUCCACCGGCAUCUGCACUGGGGUCUCUCUUUUUUGACGUCUUGUUCCCUUUCCACACUUUUAGGCACCUCUAACCUUCCCCUACUUCUUCUUUUCUGGUCCCUUCUUUCUUUUCUUCUUUUUUCCCUCCUUUCUCCACUCCCCUCUACCCACUGAGUAAUGGGGAUGGGAAUUCCUCAUCCCGUCCUUAAACUCUUCCCCUCGCCCUAAGCCUCUGGGAGUUGGCGUAGUGGAAGGAGGCAGCCUCUGGUCCCUCCUUCUGCCACCUUGGGGGAGUCCCUUCACCUCUCUGGGCCUCUGUGAGAUGGAGACAAUAAUAUCCACUUCACCUUCUGCUUCACAACAUAGUUGUGAGAUUCAAAAGAGGCGACACUGACUGUUG
ensembl:lncRNA